rnacentral:lncRNA from 1 species
GGGAGUCCCCCUGCGACCUCUGGGCCUGUCCCAGGCAGCGUGCGCUGCCACCAGCCCCUGCCUCCCGGAGCCCAGCCCCAAGUGUCCCCUGGCCUGGAGGGACUAGUCAGGACACUGUGGAGUCCUCGGGUCUCCCGGCCAGCGCUGCAGCAGCCACCCCCCUAAGCGACAGUCGGACAGGCACCUGACCCCCGCCCCCGGGCCACGGCUCCUCUGAUUCCAAGUGACCUUAGUCCUGCUGCUCCGUUGGAAGGGACAUCAGCCUGUGUGGGUGGCAGCUGGUAGGUGGACCCGAGAGCUUCGGCACCUCUCAAAGGCCCGUGUGAACCCGGGCCCUCCUGGUGGCCCUGUCGUGACCCCAGGCCCCUGCAGGCGUGACUUUGCCCUGUGUCUGGUUUGGUCCCCAGCCCUGGGAGGCAAGUCCUGUCAUUGUCCCCACUUCCCAGGCAAGGAGACUCAAGCCCGUGGGGACGACUUCAACCCCGGCUCAGCCCAGACACCAGCGCCUGCUCCCACCCAGGCCCCAGGCCCUACCACGCUGGGUCCCCCUCACGGAGCCCCAGAUCUGCUGGCCGCUGACCACGUGCCCCCGACAGCCCUCCAUGCCCAGGGCAGGCAGAGCUCCCCAGAGCCCCGGCUGCCAGCCCCACUUGGGCCCCAGCACAUCGGGUACCACCCUGUGCCCGUGGAGUGGCCGGGAAGCUGGAGGCCCCACAGAGAAGUUCAGAACCAAGGAGUUUUGGGAACCCCACGGUGGCAAAGGGGAGGUGCCCCUAGAGUCGUGCAGUGCACAACCUACACAACCACGAGCAGGGCCUUGACGGGCCCAGGGCAGGCACG